GCCGACUGCAGCACGGCUCUGCUCGGCUGCCAGCGAGGCAUGAUGAUGGGCUGAUAAAGCUCUCAGCUGCACAGACAAAUAGAAAAGGAGACGCUAAGACGAAAAGGUAGAUAAUUUAUCCCAGAGUGAGGGACCUGUGUGAUGGGCGCUGGGACAGAAGAAGAGCGGCAGAGACUGUCUCCACUCAGAUAUACUCAGCCAUGUUCAGCACUGUGCACCUUUACCUGCUUGUGAAAUGCUGUCAUCAACAACAACCCACAUGCUCUACAAACCAUGUGCUACAGUCCAGACACCACCUGCUGUAUCCCUCUCCUGGAGAUAUGAGGAAUAAAAAUAUACCUGCUCCCCGUCACAGCUGCACCUCCGAGAUAAGUGGCACACACAACCCUGAGUGGAGGGAAGGGGGGAAAAAAGCCAUAUAUUUAAAUUUGAAAUGUGGAGUUUCACAGGUGAGGAGACGCGACACGGUUUGAAGAUGAGCGACGCAGCACAUUUCACAUUUCACUGAGCAGAUAAUUAAGCUUUCAGCAUGAAUGUUCAGAGUUAAUUUAAGGGGACAAAACAAGAGCUCUCCACGUUUACAUGAGUGAAGGGUUGGAAGUGUGGGGUUUUACAACUCUGAACUGUGAUUAACCAGGAAAGCUUCUAAAAUUAAAGGCGUCCUUCUUUGUUUUUCAAUCAUCAUGUCAUCCUGGGUCUAAGUCAGACUUUUUUAACAUGCAAAUCUGAAUGAUCCUCUGCUGUCAACUGUCAUGUUAUUAACCUGAUUUGAGACAUUUCGUCUCUUCAGAGGACUGUGUCACACUUAACUCGAGAACACUGUCAUCUUUUAUUUCUGAAGAAGCAAUUACAGUAUACUGUAUAUAUUUGAAUCACGCAGCAUACUGAAUAUAUCAGACACCACUUUAAGAGUGUGAUGUCCGUAUCCAUAGACUGAAAUAGGCCAAAAGGUUUCCUUUCUCAUCACACUCCAUAUACAAAUCCAAAAGACAGGUUUACGGAUUUCUACACUCUCACAUUAAUAUCACAGGUUCUGUUCUGUUCAUUGUCUUUGCAGUCUGUUAAAUUAAACAGUUUUUUUUUGUUUAGAAUUGUGUGUGUUGCUACAUUUUGACACAACACUGUUCUAAAUGAGGCGUGGCCAAUUGAUUUACACUGCUGUCAGUUAUUUUAAUAACAUUUUCUUUCCCUUCGAGUUACACUGCAUGCUGGGUGGAGCGUGCUUAAAUACAGAGGCUAAGUAAAUGGACCAGAUCAGCCACUGCAUCCGGAGAGGGGAAAUAAUGUGUUGUACAGAGAUUUCGUUUUCAAAUUUAAUUGGAUAAAGCUGGUAUAUAUAUAUAUAUAUAUAUAUAUAUCCUCUUGUCUCAGUUUGACAGGUCAGUUAUUUGAGGUAAUGUCCAGUUUGGUUUACAAUAUUGUUUUAAUAGUAUAUGUACCAGUUAAAGAGUAACUUGCUGUACAAUCAACAGUUUUUUUAUUCAAUCUAGUGUCUGACAUUUGUCCAUGUUUGUUUAUUCUUGACUUUCCACUUUUCUUAUUUGAGGAUUAGAAUUAUGGAUGUAAAGUUUGUGUAAUCUUUAUUAACCAAAAACACCAGAAGGAACUGUGAUGAUUUAGAAUAUAAUGUUGACACAGACACAUCACCUCAAAUAAUCACGUAUAUGCUUUUACAUGGAACAGCAAGUACAGGAAACUCAGUGUAACAAAGUCAAAGGGUAAGACUGGUUUACAUUGUUUUCAUAUACAUUGUGUCCACAGUAGGCAUAAUGUAAUGUAAUGUAUUCCAUAGGCCAAGGAUGCUUUAAGACGCCAGGGUGUCUACAUUAUCAUGAUCACAUUUUCUCUAAUAAAUCUACAUAUUCUGUGUUGUUAAGGAAGAUGUUGAAAAAUGAGACACAGAUUAGCUCUGAUUUAUUUAGCUUGGUAUUGUUAGGAUCAGAUCAAAUGUGAUGUAUUAGAUUGGAAAUUUUAUCUUAGGCUGUUUUGAUGUUGUUUUUCUCUCUCUCUUCCCAGCCCACCCACUGUCAUAAAUAACUGUAUAAUAAAUCAAUCCCUACCUAUUCUUCUGGGCCACUCAAUAUGUAUGUGGUGUGACAGGCUCGGCUGAGACUCGGAUCAUAUAUCUACUGAGAUGAUGGGAGAAUAAAUCACAGCUUUUACAGUAGCAGGCUGGCCAAGGCUAGAGAGGCCGUCACUCUUCAGUCCCCCCUCCCUCUCCCUCAGCAAGGAUUUCUCCCCCUAUCAUUCUCUUUUUCAGGCUCUCUCCCCCAGGGUGGCCCAUUUGUAACUCAGAAAUGAUGUCCUUUCAGGUGCAUAGCCCCUAUUUCUUCUUUGUCCUGCACCCAACUGGUUUAACUGUGCUCUUCAGAGCAUUUUAACAUCAAUGUAUGACUGUCACAGUCAUUUUACAAAUUAGCAUAAUUGCCAUGGUGAACUCAGCCAUUGUCCUUUCCAUACGGAAGCACCAGGUCUAACUUGGCAGGAGCUCUGCUGGUUGGUUUUACUUCACAAAGAUACAGAAGACUGUUUACACUUUACAGGGAAUCCACAACUUUAUUUGACCUCCAUCUUGCCAUCUCUAUAUUAGUCUCUACAUCUGCACCAACCACAGGGCCAGUGCUUUUGUUAAGGAACCCGGAGAAUUUGAUGAGUUUAUUCCUAUUUUUUAAGUCUAUCCUAAAACAAUAUCAAUCAAUAUGUGUUCAUAUUGUAACGGACUGGUAGUUAGGAUUAUGUUCUGUUUGACUGCUAUGUGGUCGUUAUGACUUAUGUUCAGCUAAGUACACUGUUAAAUAAGUUCUGAGAUGUCCUGAGGGUCAGUGAACAGGUCGGGGUGGGGCAUGUGACAGUUCUAGACCAAUGGCUGUGGGGUUGUGUGGGAUGACAGGCUCUCAUUGGCUGGGUUGUUGGCAGGUCAGGGGUGAAGGAGGAAGGGGAGUGAAGAAGACGAAGUUGUUGUUAAGAGUGUCGGGGUUAAGAACAAGAAGUGUGACAUGUUCGGGUUGACUUUAAUAAAUUUACAAAUAAGAGAAGAAGUUCUGUGUCGUCUGUGAGGCGGGGACGUUACAAUAUUAUCAGCCAAACUCUUUAUUGUCAGUGUAACAAUUAUCCCUGGCCAUCAACAGAUCCUCCCAAAAAUAAGUUUAACCGUAAAAAUAAUUUUAGGCCGUUCGGACCAUUUUCCUUCCCAAGCCCAUGUACUUGCGUGAAACUGAAUUAACAAUACUAAUAUAGCUAUCAAUAACUUAUCACAAUUUAUUUUUGUAGCCUAUUAAAAAACAAACAAAAAAGUUGUUAUGUCCAAUUUUUGAGUGUGAAAGCAGUCUUUCCUGGAGUUCUAGUCCAAGAGCUUAAGUCCAAGUUGAAUCGCGGGUUCUGAAAAUUAGGACUCAAGUCAGACUCAAGACAAUGUCCUGGACUCAAGUACUACAAUACUAGAGACAGGUAUAUCAUCCUGGCUGUAGUUACUCUUCAACCUGAAUUAACCUGUAAGUCAGGUGGUAUCAAACGUGGUUGUACCUCCUCAGGUGGUGGGGCAGUAGGGAUGGCAAAGAAUCAAGCGCAGGCUAAUAUUUUUUCAACCACUGAAUGGACUUCCAUUUUGAAGACAUCCGUGGUCCUUUGAGGCAGAGAAUGGAGCCAUAGACAUUUGAGUGACCUUUGGCACUUCAUCUGGGGCCACCGGCAGGUCAAAUCCUCCCAUAGUUCACUUUAACAUGAACUUGUGGACUGGUCAGACAAAUUCAUGGUUCCUAUGCAAUGAAUCCUGAUGACUUGGGCUAAACCUUGUUGCAUCAGCUUCAGAUGUUCACUGGCUUUAGCACUAAUUGGUGAAUGUUAUAUGGUGGAAAUGUAAAGAUUAUACCUGCUGCAUAUCAACACAUUGACACUGUCCCUGUAAGCAUGUCAUCCUAAAGCACAGUGUCGGUGUAGCUGCAACAACCCCCUACCUUCUACAGAUGGAGACUUUCUACAUGGCUUACAACUGUCUGUUGUUUGUGCUGUCAUUUUGGUUCUCUAAACAAGAAUGACUCAAAGAGUGUCUCUACACAGGGGAGUUUUCUCACGUUUGCCUCUGUUUGGUUCCAAUGGAGUUUAUUCAGUUAAAACACUGUGGUUGGGUGAUCUUUGCCAUGUCCACCUCUGUCUUUGUAAUACCAGACCACAGGCACAGCAACAUGCAAUGCCCUUAGUUUAACAUUUUGACGUUAAUCAUUUUGAAGUUCAGAUGCCUGUGGGCACGGCUCAUCCGAUGGACUAACCCAAGGUUCUCUCCAAUUCCUUCCCUCCCUGUCUCCUCUGUCCUUUGUCCUACAGUUGAUAGCCUGCCAACUGUGAACUGCAAGAAGCACACAGCUCCCCUUUAUAUGUCUCAAAUUUGAUUAAUGGACUUUGUUUCUGCUGAACAGAGUAUUGGUCUAUGUACACUUACGUAUAUAUUGUAAGUGUAUAUUAUCAGACAAAAUUGUGUGCUUUGAAUGCCUCAAAGUUGUGUAAGCUUGGUGCAGUUUUACUUAUGAUAAUACAAAUAUAGUGCAGCCCUCUCCCUAAUGUUCUCCUUGCUUGUGAUAUAUGGUCCUGUGGAAUCAGUCCAGCUGUGAGACAGCGUCUAACAGAUACUUUGACAUGUCACAUCUGUAUGUAUAAUGAAAUGAAUGAUGGCUGGAUUCCAUUUAGCUGCUUCAGUUUCAGGCUCCUGGUGCUGCUCAUGAUGACUCCCUGUAAAACUCUUUUGUCUUGACUUGAGCAGAGCCAUCGUUAAUGUUAUCACUAACAGUCCUCAGUGGGGGUUGAUUACAUAUACUUACUGCUAUGCACUACCUUUGCAUUAAUUCCAAUCCAUUUGUUUCUAUUUCCUUCCUGUAUACCUGAGGUCAGGUCAUGGUGGCAGUGGGCAGGGUGUUCCAGACCCUGCUUUGCACAUUUCUCACCACAGCAAUGCUUUACCAGCUCCACUUGGGGGAUCCCAAGGGGUUCCCAUGCCAGAUUAGAUAUAUAAUCACUCCAGCAAGUUCUGGGUCUAUACCCCGGGGUCUUCUUACAGUUGGAUGUGCCAGGAAAGCUUCCAAUGGAAGGAACCCCAGAGGCAUAUUGAUAAGAUGCUCAAACCACCUCAUCUGGCUCAGCGAACCAGAUCUAGUCCUUCUCUUUACUGUGGCUCGAAGACGAGUUUACAAUCUGGACUUUGGCAUUAAUCUAGAUUGUAAAAACGUAUUAGGGGGUCAGUAAAGAGCCAGUCCUGCCUUCCCUUGGGCUCGGUACAAAAUUCUGCUGAGGGCACCUCCAACCUGACCUGCGAGCCAUGUAAACCAUUUGGACACACGGUCACAACUGACACCCCAGAACUCCCCCUACAGCCUGCCUCCUUUUAAACACUAGAUCUGUCAGUCUAAGAAUAAACUGACCCGUACAGAACAGCAUGAGGCAUAAACAAAAAAUAUAUAAAUUGCAUAGUUUCCACAGAGUCAUCACAUUAACAUAAAUAAAACGUUUUAGAAAACAUAACACAUAGAUAUUACGCUGAUCUUUGGCUCUGCUGACAGAUAUGGCUAAUGAUCCAGCAUCUCCUCUGCUGACAAACAUUUUUAAAUAUCUAAGGCUAUAAUGAUUGUUUAAUUAACUGUGUCCAUAUUGUCUAGAAUGUUGUACCAAUCAACCUUUUAAAUUCAGUAUUCAGUAUUUAAAUAUUUGGCAUCGAUAUGUUACUUCCAUUAGUCCAGGGUUUGCCUGAUUAUGUGGAGUUUAUUAAACAUUAAAAACUGCUGUAAUUCAAUCUCACUUUUGUCUGGAACAAAGUCACAGAACACAGACCUGAAGAGGAAAACCGACAGAUCAAGCUCAGCUGCUGCUCAGCUUGGUCAAUGAGACAGACUAGAGACAGACACACAUCAACCUACUGUUUGUUGACCUCAGACCUGAAGAGAACUAGUUUACCUGAAUGUUGUUCCAAAAAGUUACUCUCUCUGUAUUUGUUUUCUCUAUUCAUGACCAAAAGAAUAAUUUUGUUUCAAAGUCUCUUUGAAAUCAUUCAAUGGCCAGUAACAUCUGUGUAUUUAUACACUGUCUGUUCAAAUAAUAAAAAAAAGCUUUUUCCUUUUCAGCAAACGCAUCAUAUGUAGGUACACCUUUUCACCAUUAACUAGUUCUUUAUCAGCACUUGUAUUCAGCACAUAUUAACCCUGUUGAGGAGGUUCUGUGUUCUUGUGCCAUCUGUCUCUCAGUAGGAUUACUCAAAGGCUACUCAACAGAUAUCCAUGACAUUUUGUGGAGGGGUGGGGCGUGACCCAAGGGAGAACCAAUUGCAUUUUGGAGCAGAUCUAGAUAAACAGGCAGAUCCAGGAUUUGUUUUACUAUUUUUGAGAGGAUUAGCCUUGGUGGAGGUAUGCACUCUCUGAGCACCCUUCUAGUUAAUGUUGUGUACUGCAUAUUCCAGAUUCGCUAGGACUUUUGUGAGUUUUCCUUUAAUAAUUCCUUUAUUACUUCUUGAUGGUCAGUAAAAGGGUGUUUAUGAAUAACAGUCUUUAACUAAGGUGUUUUGAGUGCGGUCUUGCUCGUUAAUAAUUCUCUUAUUAACCUACACAGGUUUACUGUUCUAAUGUUGCCUCCUCUUCAUACUUAGAGAAUCAAACAUUAUUGCACUGAACUACAGCAAUUAAUAGACCCUGUUUUUAAGUGAUGGGUUACACCUUUUAAUGAACAGAGAUCUACUUCAGAGAUGUUCAAACAUAUCAUACUUUAUCAUUUUUGUUCAAGGUUAAGAACGAACCCUAAACCCGGAAAAAGUUUUUUUACCUGACACAAGUUUUUGAUGUGCAAAGAAUGACAACGAUUUUAAAUCAUAUCCCAAUGUAUUUGCUCUAAUACAGUGUGACAUGCUUGUAUGAAUACUGACACCAGUCAAUAUUCCAUUUCUCAGAGAGAGGCUUCAUUUAGUACCUUAAAUCUCACAUCUGAUGACAGGCUUGGCAGCAGCACCAGAGACCACAACAUCAAUUUUCAGCCCAGCCUGUGUUGUCAGAUGUAGGAUUUGGGAUAGUAGACAGUUUUUUGCUGAAAGUUCCCGAAGGUGUAUGUAAACAUGCCAUAUAUAAAUACAACUGCAAAUGAGCAAUAAAACAAUAUUUGCCAUUGUAUUUAUUUGUAAGAUAUUUUAAUUUCCAUGCUGUUACUCUUGAAUAUAUUCCUGCUAACCCUGUGUAAUAAGCUCUACUAGCCUGUCUUAACAGUUAGCCGGUUAGCAGUUUAUCACAGCCACAGUGAAUAAAUCCUCAUGUUUAAUGGAGCUACUGACCAGUAAGGGUUUAACUUUCCUCUAACUGCGAACAGCUAACUGUCAGCUUCAAGUUCACGACAAGUCUAGAUUUAAGUAGGCUGAGCGUGCUUUUAUGAUUUAUGUAUUAUUGUCCUGUUUUUAAACACUAUGUGUUCUUAGGAAGUGUGUAUGUAUAUUUGUGGUAGGCCUACUAAUACAGUACCUUAUAAGGCCCAUGUUAAGAAAAGCAUUGUGGGCAUGGAGGUGGCUCAGAGAGAACCUUCACCUGUACCAGAGGAGUAAUCAGUGCAGCAGAGGGCUGAUGGCUCAUUACUCCUCCGAUUCAAAAGGCAGCAGCAGAGCUGCCACAGAGGAGGAGCAUGGAGAAGAAACACAAAGGGCUCAUGGGAGACACUGAGGGAGACCGAGCUGAGCUGAGCUGCGAAGCCGAGGUGCCAGCAGAAAUUGCUGCCUAGUAUAAGUUGAGUUUUGAAUUUAUGUUUGGGGCAGAUUGAAGAAUAUUUCUCCAGAAAAACCAUGUGAAAACCGAGCUUUGCCAAACUAUGGAACCUUACCCUUCUCUUACUCAUGCCGACACUAAAUAUCUUUGUUUGCUCUGUGUCUCUCCCCCACACACAGUUCUGACUGAUGAGAUGGACGAGGAUUCCUCUCUAGAGAAAAACAGAUUUCUUAUCAGCUGAAGAUUGUCAGAUUUGCUCAAAGUGUUCAAUGAACUAGACCGGAAGUUGAAACUACCACUGCAGAUCCCGGAGGAGCGUGAAGCUCUGCGCUGCUGUCGGACCUGCAGUCUGCACAGCUGCAUCAGUUAGCAUAUUGUCAAUCCUGCAGUACUCCUCCUCACAUCAGUCUUCAAAGGGGACGCACAACAGCGGUUUAUCAUUGAUAAGGCCCUCUCCAUGAACAACUGACCCCAUGACCAAACGGGCACCUACUUGCAUUGAGGUGACAGUACUAACCCCCUGCACCCCAAUGCUGCCUACAGAUGGACCCAGGGCACCUGAAAGAAAUGAAAUAAUACAUUUUGUGAAUGUUGUUGCCAAGAUGGAGAUCAGCACCCAUCCCAGGUCAGUCCAUCUGUGUCAGUCCAAUAUGGUAAAAUAAAAAAAAAUUAUUAUCAAAAUGAUCUGGCAGUGAUUUAGACCUGGAGUUGGACCCAGUGGCCUGAAGAGGAAGAAGACCUGUUAAGCUCAGUCAGCGGACUGACUCUUAGCUUGCUGCCCCGCCUCCAUUGACUGCUACAGAGCGCACUUAUUUAUAAAAAAUGUCAUUAAUAUUGAAGGUACCACAUGCCCAAAUCUCACUAAACUCGACACUGCUCUUCCUUGGGUUAUUACAAAUACCAAUUGCAAGAGUGAGGCAGAUUAAAGGAAUGGUUUGUGAGAUAUGCAUUUCACUUACACACAGACAAACAGACAUUUGUGGAAUCAGUAGGUAGAUACUAACAGUAUUAUGCCUUUACAGUACACGACAGGGGUGGGGGACAUAAGCUUAUGCUGUUGCAAAGCUGCUAGAAACGAAGUAAAAAGUUCCAAAGUGUCAAUUUGUCUUGAAGAACUGACAAAUUAUGUAGGAUCAGCGUAGAGUUGGAUAUGAGUGAGGAACUACUGUCUUUGAAAGCCAUGUAUGUGUCUACCAACAGUGAGUGGGGAGGUUGUUUUGUCUAAAACGAGCUGUGAGUAGCAUCAUCAUCAUUAUCAUCAUCAUCGCUAUCAUCUCACAUCAGAUACCUCGGCAUGGAGAGGGGAUCCAGGCAUCGCAUUAGAGAGAUUUAUAUGUGUUCAAUUUUUUAGUAUGGCCCUCAAAGGAUGUUGUAAACAAUUGGAAUGGCCCUUCAUAGGAGAAAGGUUUUCUCAAGCUGGUAAACAAUGCAUUGAAUUUGAGUGCUGAUGCAGGGGUAGUUUAUUGUUCCCACGUUUUAUGAACAUGCAAUAUCAGUAUCCAUGUUCCGCUUGUCUUUAGUAGUUACUGAGUUGGGGAAAACAGUUUUUCUAUAUUCAGUUUUUAGCCUCACAUUUUAUAUACACAUUUUCUUCUGUGAGUUCUUUCAUAAAACCAGCUUCCAAUCCCAAAAGAACAGUUGAUGAACAAAAAGCUACAUCUUGACAAAAGGCUUUAAGAGACUGCAGUUGUGAUCCUUUUGCGUUUGUUUCAGAUUCAAACUAGAGAUGUUUGGUCUCAAGUAUGCAACCCUCCAGGCCCCUGCCACACCACUGUGUAGCUUUAUCAGACAUGAGAUGUUUCUAUAGGUUCAAACAGACGAGCGGUUUUGACAGAAUGGCUGCUUUUGUUUGUUCUCUCCACCCACCGUCUGCACCACAUAAACCAUCUGCUGCAGGCUUACUGAGGAAAUCCAGAGGUUAUUGGAUUGAAGACGACUUUAUGAGUCAUAUUGUGCGCAUUUUAUACAAUUCUGGAUUUCUUUUUAUAGUUCUACAUGCGCCAUCUGAAGAAUAUGAUGUGAUCGUCUGUCACUGACAGUCAUGUUGUGUAGCUUCUUACUUUGACACUUUUUUUUAAGUUAAGCACAGGUGUGAAAAUAAAGUUUCCACCAUCCACACUAGUGGAUUGUAAGUGUCUCUAACAAGCUGCUAAAGACACGUAUGCAGGCAUCAAACCUGAAAUGGUGUAAUUAUCACAUUGUAAUGUUAGAUUACACUUUUAAAUUUGAGGAUGCAUGGUUUAAUAACGUGUCAUUUCUUUCACUUCAAACUAACAGUUACACUAUUCUCUCUUCAAAAACAAGCAAACAUAGAGGGUUAAUUUUCCUGUGUGGCAUAAAACUAGUUUGUGUUCUAUUGUAGGGUGGCUGUGGCUGAGGGGUAGAGCGGUCGUCCUCCAACCUGAAGGUCGGCAGUUCGAUCCCCAGCCGAAGUGUCCUUGGACAAGAUGCUGAACCCCGAAUU